rnacentral:rRNA from 1 species
GAGGACGAACGCUGGCGGCGCGCCUAACACAUGCAAGUCGAACGAGAGAUGAGGAGCUUGCUCUUCAGAUCGAGUGGCGAACGGGUGAGUAACGCGUGAGGAACCUGCCUCAAAGAGGGGGACAACAGUUGGAAACGACUGCUAAUACCGCAUAAGCCCACGGCUCGGCAUCGAGCAGGGGGAAAAGGAGCAAUCCGCUUUGAGAUGGCCUCGCGUCCGAUUAGCUAGUUGGUGAGGUAACGGCCCACCAAGGCGACGAUCGGUAGCCGGACUGAGAGGAUGACCAGCCACACUGGGACUGAGACACGGCCCAGACUCCUACGGGAGGCAGCAGUGGGGAAUAUUGGGCAAUGGAGGAAACUCUGACCCAGCAACGCCGCGUGGAGGAAGAAGGUUUUCGGAUCGUAAACUCCUGUCCUUGGAGACGAGUAGAAGACGGUGUCCAAGGAGGAAGCCCCGGCUAACUACGUG